UACAGGCUUAACACAUGCAAGUCGAGGGGAAACGACAGAGGAAGCUUGCUUCCUUGGGCGUCGACCGGCGCACGGGUGAGUAACGCGUAUCCAACCUUCCCGCAAGUAAGGGAUAACCCGUAGAAAAUGCGGCCUAAUGUCCUAUGUUGUUCUUUGCAGACAUCUAAAGAGAACGAAAGAUUUAUCGGCUAUGGAUGGGGAUGCGUCUGAUUAGGUUGUUGGCGGGGUAACGGCCCACCAAGCCUACGAUCAGUAGGGGUUCUGAGAGGAAGGUCCCCCACAUUGGAACUGAGACACGGUCCAAACUCCUACGGGAGGCAGCAGUGAGGAAUAUUGGUCAAUGGACGGGAGUCUGAACCAGCCAAGUAGCGUGCAGGAUGACGGCCCUAUGGGUUGUAAACUGCUUUUAUAGGGGGAUAAAGUGUGCCACGUGUGGCAUAUUGCAGGUACCCUAUGAAUAAGGACCGGCUAAUUCCGUG
rnacentral:rRNA from 1 species